AGUAGUUUGACUCCGUGGCUCGAGGACGACGCUGGCGGCGUGCUUAACACAUGCAAGUCGAACGGUAAGGCCCUUCGGGGUACACGAGUGGCGAACGGGUGAGUAACACGUGGGUGAUCUGCCCUGCACUUUGGGAUAAGCCUGGGAAACUGGGUCUAAUACCGAAUAGGACCAUGGACUUCACGGUUUGUGGUGGAAAGCUUUUGCGGUGUGGGAUGGGCCCGCGGCCUAUCAGCUUGUUGGUGGGGUAAUGGCCUACCAAGGCGACGACGGGUAGCCGGCCUGAGAGGGUGACCGGCCACACUGGGACUGAGAUACGGCCCAGACUCCUACGGGAGGCAGCAGUGGGGAAUAUUGCACAAUGGGCGCAAGCCUGAUGCAGCGACGCCGCGUGAGGGAUGACGGCCUUCGGGUUGUAAACCUCUUUCAGCACAGACGAAGCGCAAGUGACGGUAUGUGCAGAAGAAGGACCGGCCAACUACGUG
rnacentral:rRNA from 1 species